UACGUAGGGUGCAAGCGUUAAUCGGAAUUACUGGGCGUAAAGCGUGCGUAGACGGUUACAUAAGUCGGGUGUGAAAGCCCCGGGCUCAACCUGGGAAUUGCAUUCGAGACUGCGUAGCUAGGGUGCGGAAGAGGGAAGCGGAAUUUCCGGUGUAGCGGUGAAAUGCGUAGAUAUCGGAAGGAACACCAGUGGCGAAAGCGGCUUCCUGGUCCAGCACCGACGUUCAGGCACGAAAGCCGUGGGAGCAAACAGG
rnacentral:rRNA from 1 species